rnacentral:rRNA from 1 species
UACGUAGGGGGCCAGCGUUGUCCGGAUUUACUGGGCGUAAAGAGCGCGUAGGCGGUCUGAUCAGCGGAGGGUGAAAUACCGGGGCUCAACUCCGGUGCUGCUCUCCGAACUGUCAGACUAGAGUGCGGGAGAGGGCAGUGGAAUUCCUGGUGUAGCGGUGGAAUGCGUAAAUAUCAGGAGGAACACCUGUGGCGAAGGCUGCUGCCUGGAACGUUACUGACGCUGAGGCGCGAAAGCUAGGGGAGCGAACGGGAUUAGAUACCCCGGUAGUCCUAGCCGUAAACGAUGGACACUAGGUGUUGGAGGCAUCGACCCCUCCAGUGCUGUUCUGCUAACGCGUUAAGUGUCCCGCCUGGGGAGUACGGCCGCAAGGUUGAAACUCAAAGGAAUUGACGGGGGCCCGCACAAGCGGUGGAGCAUGUUGGUUAAUUGGAUUCAACGCCGGA